ACUGAGCUGUUCCCUGCGCUAAGGUGCUCUUUUGGGCCUAAAUAUAAUUAGAUCCUUCGCCGUUGUUUUGAGGUAAAUCUAAACGAAAAGGAACACCUGUUAACAGGUAGUGAUGCCGCAGGAAAGUGCUGGGAAGGGAAUGCUGGGAAGGGAAGGGCGUGGUCCCUUUAAAUGAUAAGGAAGGGGGGCGGGAAGUGCUGGGUAGAGGAGGGCGUGGUCCCCAGCUAGGGCUUCAUCCCUGGGCCUGGGCCUACCUAGGUGAAGACAGGCAUUUUUGUUUUCCUGCCCGGAUGUUGCAUUUCCCAAGACCACCCUGGCCUGCCAUGCCCUCAUCCUGUGCCUUUAAAAACCCCCGAGACCCUGGCAGGCAGACGCACAAGCAGCUGGACAUUGAGAGGAGCAUAUAGGCAGAGAAUACAGGGGCUGCUGGAUGUCGAAAGGAACGCACCAGCAUAGGAGCACACCGGCAUGCUGGCAGGCCAUUGACCAGCGGAAGAAUGCAGAGUUUGUCGCGGGAGGUCAGAGAAGAGUCAGGCCGCCAUACCUGACUCCAGGAGAAAACCGUCUCCCUUCUGGUUCCCCCGUCUGCCGAGAGCUACUUCCACUCAAUAAAACUUUCCACUCAUUCUUCAAGCCCACGUGUGAUCCAAUUCUUCCCGUACACCAAGGUCUCGCUGUGUUUCCCAGGCUGGGUGCAGUGGCUAUUCAAAGGUACAAUGAUAGCUCACUGCAGCCUGGAACUCCUGGACUCAAGCGAUCCUCCUGCCUCAGCUGCGACUAACAGUGCUGGUAAUGAUGUAUACCUGGCAGCUGACCGUCAAAUCUUAUGAAGGAUUAAAACAUAAAGUUUGCAUUAAAGGUCAAAACAGUCACAAGCCUGCUCAAAUUCGGAAAGAGGGGACGGAAAUGGAACCUCUUCAUGGGAGGAAGAAACAGGGUCUUGCUCUGUUGCCCUGGCUGGAGUGCAAUGGUAUGAUCAUAGCUCACAGUAGCCUUGAACUCCUGGGCCCAAGCCAUCCUCCUACCUCAGCAACCAGAGUAGCUGGGAUUACAGGCGAAUGCCACCACACCUGGAAUUGGAAAAAUGAAUGUAAUUUGACAUAUGUCUUGAGUCUGGUUGGCUUCUGAGGAACUUGUGUGCAUCUCAUCAGUAUGCAUCUUAAGAACUGAAAUGACCCUACUUCAGCAUUGUGAGAAGACAUGCAUUCUCUUCGUAUAAAUAAUGUGGAUCUUACAUGUGAAAUUACAUAAAGAUAAAAGGGGAUGCACUGAACCUGAUGGUACUUUCCUGUACAAUUGAGAAAAGGUGAAAUAAGCAGAAGACCAAGGGAUGCAUUGGGAGGAGGAGAACCAGGAGGAGGACCACGUAAUGGAAGCCAAGUGAAGACAGUGUUUCCCAGUGCUGGCAAGGAGCAGGCUCCAUGCAUGCAUUUGGGCUCUGUGGAAAAUCUAGCCAGGGAUGCGGGCCUUUCUGAACGCCGCUUUCAUUGUGCCCCCUGCAGCAUUAUCUCUUCGAUGCGAUGUCCCUGCUGACUGAAAUGCAGAGAAGCUACUAAGAUCCACACACCAGUUGCUGCAAUCGGUGCCCUGCUCUUUGUCCCCCAUUCACCCCAGGUGAUUCAGCUCUUCUGGCACUCCCAGUGAUUCCUGUGGGACAGGCCCAGAGUGGACUUCCCACGAAGAUUCCCAGACUGGGGGAGAGCUCUAAGAUCCACUUCCAAUUCCUUUGUCUCACCUAGGAGACUCUGGGUUUAUGGAAGUUCUCUCUGAUUAGUGCUGUUGCAGCUGGGUUUGGGGGUCAUGUAGUCUAAAUGAUUGUUUCUCUUACUGGUGGUGAUUUUUCCAGUUUCUGUGGGCCCAGUGGAUUUCUCUGCUUCUCCUUAGAGUUCUGGUGAACUCAGAAUGUUAGUGUUAUUCUUUUCUUUGAAAAUAGUUUCCAUUUGUAAUUUGCUUGGAGAGUGAUUCUGGGGGAUUCUAUUCUGCCAUCUUGCUGCUGUCACUCUUUAAUAAGAUUUGUAACUAAUUCUCAAAUUGUUCAUAGUCUUAAAACUACAUAGAGUUGAUUUCAUACAUUUUAUUAUGAGAACAAUAAAAGUAUUUUGUGUCUUUGCUAGUGAGAUUUUUAGUUAUACAGAAAUUACAGUGUUUCCUGCUAUGUUCAAUCAUUCCAAGAUUCAUUAUACAUAUGUUAAAUAUGUUAUACAUUUGUUUACAUAAUGCAUAUUUUAUUUUUUUUCUGAGAUACCCAAAGCAUAAUCUCCCUCACUAUCCUGAAUAAUUAUAAAUUAGUAUUUCAUAUAUGAUAGAAAAUUUGUGACAUCCACUAUUUUUAAGAACGGCUAGGCUGGGCGUGGUGGCUCAUUCCUGUAAUCCCAGCACUUUGAGAGGCUGAGGUGGGCGGAUCACGUGAGUUCGGGAGUUCGAGACCAGCCUGACCAGCAUGGAGAAACCCCAUCUCUACUAAAAAUACAAAAUUAGCCGGGCGUGGUGGCACAUGCCUGUAUUCCCAGCUACUCGGGAGGCUGAAGCAGGAGAAUUGCUUGAACCCGGGAGGUGGAGGUUGCAGUGAGCCGACAUCAUGCCAUUGCACUCCAGCCUGGGCAGCAAGAGUGAAACUCUGUCUCGAAAAAAAAAAAAAAAAAAAAAGAAGAAUGGCUAAUUUCAGAACAUGUUUAUAUGUAUGUUGUAUUCAAUGUCUUUAAUUAAAGUCUGUUUCUUUAUCCUAAUUUGUG
rnacentral:lncRNA from 1 species